UAUUUAUAUAUAACAGAUGCAUUAGAAAGAAAAUAUCAACAUAAAUGUAUGUGGAUUUCAUAAAGGAUUGUAAAACUCUCCACAUCUAAGAAACAUCAUUGAGUGCAGCGUUGAUGAAGUUUCGGAUAGAUGCCAAAUGAUUUUAUCAACGAUGCACUCAAUCAUGUUUUUU